rnacentral:rRNA from 1 species
CACGUAGGGGGCAAGCGUUGUCCGGAUUUAUUGGGCGUAAAGAGCUCGUAGGUGGUUCGGUAAGUCGGGUGUGAAACCUCCAGGCUCAACCUGGAGACGCCACCCGAUACUGCUGUGACUGGAGUCCGGUAGGGGAGCGUGGAAUUCCUGGUGUAGCGGUGAAAUGCGCAGAUAUCAGGAAGAACACCCGUGGCUAAGGCGGCUCUCUAGUACGGUACUGACGCUGAGACGCGAAAGCGUGGGGAGCAAACAGG